rnacentral:rRNA from 1 species
AUGGAAUUCCCGAGGGGUCAUCCUUCUCUACCGAUUUCUCUAGGGUACUAUAACAAAUCUAACAUCAUAUGCAAGAAAGAUUUCUCCAGGUACUUCAGGCAAGUUUUGUAUGUUGUUGGGGAACUUAGAAGAGAUAUGAUCGUGUCACCAACCGGUCGGACUCCUACCAAGAUUCGCACUAGCCCAAGAUGGUAUCCAUACUUUAAGGAUUGCAUUGGGGCAAUAGAUGGCACUCAUGUCACUGCCAAAGUGUCGAGGUCACAGUCUGCAGCAUACAUGGGUAGAAAGCACUACACACGCCAGAAUGUGCUUGCUACCGUUGACUUCGAUACGAAGUUCACAUAUGUGCUGGCUGUCUGGAAAGGAUCAACAUACGAUGAUAACAUUCUCAGUGACAGCAUGAGUUGUACUGAUGGCAUCAACAUCCCAAUGACAAGUUCUACCUAG